rnacentral:rRNA from 1 species
AAUAGAUACCCGGGUAGUCCACGCCGUAAACGAUGAGUGCUAGGUGUUAGGGGGUCCAACCCUUAGUGCCGAAGUUAACACAUUAAGCACUCCGCCUGGGGAGUACGGUCGCAAGACUGAAACUCAAAGGAAUUGACGGGGGGCCCGCACAAGCGGUGGAGCAUGUGGUUUAAUUCGAAGCAACACGAAGAACCUUACCAGGGCUUGACAUCCCUCUGACCGUUCUAGAGAUAGAGCUUCCCUUCGGGGCAGAGGUGACAGGUGGUGCAUGGUUGUCGUCAGCUCGUGUCGUGAGAUGUUGGGUUAAGUCCCGCAAUGAGCGCAACCCUUGUCCUUAGUUGCCAGCAUUCAGUUGGGCACUCUAGGGAGACUGCCGGUGACAAACCGGAGGAAGGUGGGGAUGACGUCAAAUCAUCAUGCCCCUUAUGUCCUGGGCUACACACGUGCUACAAUGGCUGGUACAAAGGGUAGCGAAGCAGUGAUGUGGAGCCAAUCCCAAAAAGCCAGUCACAGUUCGGAUUGUAGG